rnacentral:rRNA from 1 species
UAACAACAGGUCAGGUGGGGCUACCCGCUGAGUAUAAGCAUAUCAAUAAGCGGAGG